CAAAUACAGACUCAUUCUCUCUGCUGAACUACAAUCAGAUUUCAGCAUUCAAUCUUUCUUCUUCCCAUUUAAUAACAAUCAUACUUCCAUUCCAUAAUUCACUUUCACAAUAUUUAGAAACUCUUAAUCUUCUUAUUCAAAGAAAAUAACAAACAAAAGAAAAGAGGUAGCACCAAGCUUACCCCGGCUCACACUAUCACAAUCUGGCCCCUACUUCCUCUCUCCCAUCCUCCUUAUG
rnacentral:lncRNA from 1 species